UAGAAAAAUCCGUUUUUGAGUGGUAUUUUUUAAGAAGCAUUUACUAAUAGAGCUGAAGAGGAUAGGAAAAUAAAAUAAAUAGAUGUUAUUAAUGUUCGUACUUUUUGUAUAAUGGCUUAUAAAGUUAGAAAAUAAAUUUUUAUUCCCGAAAACUUUAGAGCUAUUUUUAUUUAUAAUAUUGUUGCAAUAAUAUGAAAAAUUAAAAAUAGAUGUGAUAUGUGUUACGAAAAAGUUGAUAUCUGGUUUAAUAGGAAAUGCAUUUAGUGCAGCAGCGGUGAGAUAAAUCUAUCCGAGAAUAUCAGAUAGAUUUGAUCGCGAGUGAGAUAGUAGGGGGUAAGCUCUAUUAUAAAUAAGAAAAAUUUUAAUAAAGUAGAAAUAAUAUUUUUAAGCUUUAAAAACUUUUCACAAAUUUUUUUUUUUUUUUUUUUUAAUUCUUACUAUUAUUUUGGAAAUAACUAUUUUCUAAAAAGUAGUAUAAGAUUAGUAUGAGGAAGACUAAUUUUUUUUAUAUCAAGUACUGGAAUUAGAGAAUAUGAAGUUAUCAUAAAUAUAUUACUAAGGAACUCGGCAAAAUUGAACCCCCGCCUGUUUAACAAAAACAUGUCUCUUCGAUAAACAAUAUGAAGAGUCGGCCCUGCCCAGUGGCGUCGUGCUAAACGGUCGCAACGAAUAGUUGUGCUAAGGUAGCGCAAUCAAUUGUCCUUUAAUUGGGGAAAGGAAUGAAAGGGUUGACGAGGGGAAAACUGUCUUUGUAGUAUAAUUUGAAGUUUUCUUUUAUGUGAAAAGACUUAGAUUUUGGAAUAAGAAGAGAAGACCCCGGCGAGCUUGUUAAGGGUUAUUAGGUUAAAAUAAUUAUUGAGUUUUGUUGGGGCAACGCAAAGGGAAAAUUACUCCUUUGAAUAAAAUACAGAUCCACUUAGAGUGAAUAAAGCAAAAGCUACCGCGGGGAUAACAGCGCAAUUUUUUCAGAGAGUUCAUAUCGAAGAGGAAGUUUGCGACCUCGAUGUUGGAUUAAAGUUUCCUCUUGGUGCAGGGGCUAAGAAGGUAGGACUGUUCGUCCUUUAAAAUUUUACAUGAUCUGAGUUCAGACCGGCGUGAGCUAGGUCGGUUUCUAUCUAUUAUUCAUUGUUCGUCGUACGUAAGGAUCCGAAUGAUAAAAAAUUUUUUAAUUAUAUAAUAAUUAA
rnacentral:rRNA from 1 species